rnacentral:rRNA from 1 species
CCUUGUACACACCGCCCGUCAAGUCAUGGGAGCGGGGAGUACCCGAAGUCCGCUUAGCUAACCGCAAAGAGGCGGCGGCCGACGGUAAGCUCCGUGACUGGGACU